GACCAUAUGAUUUAAGAUAGAACUUGUUGGCAAUGCAAGUCCUGUUCUCUCAGGACCAUUUUAAGGUUUGUUGUUGUAUUUACUUUAAAUUGUUCAAAUUAAAUAUAUAAUGAUUCUUCAUAACAAAAUAAACACACGUACUGAUUACAUAUGUGCAUGCGUGUGACAAGAUAAUUAGAGUUUAUAAAUUAGUUAACAAGCUUAUUUGAUUGAAAUUAAGCUAACGAAGAUGUUUCAAUAUGGGAUUGCAAAGAGCUUAUUUUAUUUAAAGGGAGUAAUUGGAAAUGUUCUAAGAUGGGAUUGUUAUUAAGAGCUCAAACAAGAAGGGUUUCUCUAAGUUCAAAUAAUGCAGGCAUCUUAGAACGUGGUUUAACAGUACUGCUCGUUGGAGUGUCUGGACAACGCCAAGUGUUGAAGCCUAGAUCGAUCUAGUUGGCCUCUUCUGAGUUCUGACACAAAAUCUCUUGUUACCUUAGCCCAAUUGUGUGUGUAACUAAGAAAUAUGUAAAGUUUUUAAACUAAGAAAUAGUAUGUGAGCCUAUUUGGAUGGGAG
rnacentral:lncRNA from 1 species